ACUUCAGAGCCUGGAUAGUCUCUGGACCUGGUUCAUAAUUUUGCCAUCUCUGGGACUACCAGAAGGCCCUGUUCCCAGCAGUGUAUGAAAGCAGAAUGUUAAAAAAGAGGCUACUGUGUAGCUCAGGACUAACACGUGACAAAAAUGAAGGAAGCGGGUUUAGGCAUAUGUGGAGUGCAGAUAUUGUCCUCUGAUCCUGCCAUUCAUGAUGGAGCAUCCAAAAUACUGCAAGGAUGAAAGAAUGUUGGUGUCUGGAAGACAAAAAAAGUGCACACAUUUGAGAAGAGACAAGAAUUGUGGUGGAAUUGUAUCACUUUGCAAGAGCUUACAAGACCUCAAAACAUACGCAAGUAUGAUAACAGCACUGCUAGAUGAAAAUAAUUCCUGAUAAAGAAAAUGGAUAAUAAUAUAAUAUUAAUCUGAUAUCAAAUGGGAUUUUUUUCCUCUUUUUUAUUUUUAGUUGAAUUGAGCCUUGUCACAUAAGCCACAAUGAGGCCUCGGAUGAGCGUUGAAACAGACGUCGCAAGGAAGAUGAUACACCUCAGGCCACAGGCUUCUGAACACAAUAUUCUGAGGGAAUGUGACUUUCCAUCCUGGAAAAAUAAGAGAAUGAUGAAAUCAUCAAGACCGGGGUUCAGAAGGAUCCCUCAGAAAGAUCCUGGGAUGGAUGUGAAUGUCAGAGAAUGGCAGGACAAGCCAUAAAAAUCACAGAGCCUGCAGUAAUGGUUCUUCAGCCAUUGGAUCUCUUUGAGCUUUCUGAUGCUUCUUCUUCUGGUGCCUCAUGGCAUAGAGAGAUGUGCCUGGGAGAAUCCAAAUUCCUCAGAUUGCACAUGCCAGUAGAGACCAAAUGUGUAACCUCUGUGAUGCAAAUUAUAUUUAACCAGCUCUGGGGACUGAAUAUGGAUUGCUGCUUUGUUUUGUUUUUAAGAAUGAGUGCUUUCACAGUGAGUAGCAGUGUUGGAAACCAAGAUAACUGCAAAGUGUUACCCAACUCGAUCUAGUCAACCCAAAUUAAAGGGUUAACUUCAGCCAAAAUACAUUCAUUGCAAGACACUGCAAACACAUCAAUUAGUGUGGAUAGUGUGUCCUGUAACUUCCUACAUCUGAGUUCAUCACUGACUAGAAAUAUUAAUAAGCACAUUUUACAAAUGCUUUCAAAUACUGAUACCUUCAGAACAAUAAAUGAUUUACAAAAAAAUGAAGGUCUCUAAGG
rnacentral:lncRNA from 1 species